rnacentral:rRNA from 1 species
UACGGGGGGAGCAAGCGUUGUUCGGAUUUACUGGGCGUAAAGGGCGCGUAGGCGGCCACCGCAAGUCGGUUGUGUAAUCUCUGGGCUUAACCCAGAAAGGUCAAUCGAUACUGCGGGGCUAGAGUGCAGAAGGGGCAACUGGAAUUCUCGGUGUAGCGGUGAAAUUCGUAGAUAUUCGGAAGAACACCAGUGGCGAAGGCGACUUACUGGACACAUAUUGACGCUGAGGUGCGAAAGCGUGGGGAGCAAACAGG